GACGAACGCUGGCGGCGUGCUUAACACAUGCCAGUCGAACGGAAAGGCCCUGCUUUUGUGGGGUGCUCGAGUGGCGAACGGGUGAGUAAUACGUGAGUAACCUGCCCUUGACUUUGGGAUAACUUCAGGAAACUGGGGCUAAUACCGGAUAGGAGCUCCUGCUGCAUGGUGGGGGUUGGAAAGUUUCGGCGGUUGGGGAUGGACUCGCGGCUUAUCAGCUUGUUGGUGGGGUAGUGGCUUACCAAGGCUUUGACGGGUAGCCGGCCUGAGAGGGUGACCGGCCACAUUGGGACUGAGAUACGGCCCAGACUCCUACGGGAGGCAGCAGUGGGGAAUAUUGCACAAUGGGCGGAAGCCUGAUGCAGCAACGCCGCGUGCGGGAUGACGGCCUUCGGGUUGUAAACCGCUUUCGCCUGUGACGAAGCGUGAGUGACGGUAAUGGGUAAAGAAGCACCGGCUAACUACGUG
rnacentral:rRNA from 1 species